CAACUUCAUGCCUGAGUAGAAGUGUUUUUUUCUGCAGCUGAUCAUUUGCUAAUAAAAUUAACUUAAUUUCUGGCUAAAGAUAAAUUAAGUAGUACUUUUUGCAUUUAUUUAUUUAAAAAUUUGAGUGCUUUUUUAUUAUUAAAUACAAUUAUUUAAAUUGUACUGUUGUUCACUGGUUAAUAAGUGGAAGUGUACUGGUGCUGUUUGUUGCUGCUUGCUGUUGUUCAUUUGCUUUGUUGCCAAAUUUACUUUUGUUUAUUUACAACAACUAAAAUAUAAAAUGUCGCCUCCAACUAAAACUUUUAAAUGUGGAUCCUGCAAUGAUAACAUUAACAAGAACCAAACUAGCAUUCAAUGUAAAGAAUGUGCCCUGUGGUUUCACAUUACAUGCGCCAAAAUUCCUGAAAAGGUUCUUUCAGCUUUGAAGGAUAGCAGGUUAUCUUUUACUUGUACCUCUUGUAAUAAUGAUCCUCGGUCUGGAUUUGAGACUAUGUUGAGAAAUGAAAUUAGCUCACUUAAUUGCAAAAUAGAUGAUUUUAUAAACAAGGUUGAUAGUGAACAGACAUCGAUUAAAAAUGCGUUGGCGGAUACUGUUGCUUCCUUGAAAUCAGAGAUUGCUUCUUGCCUUAAGGAAAUGAAGAGUGAAAUUGUGGAUUGCAAUAAGCUAAUAAACAAUGUCGAGAUAUCAACUUCCAACAAAAUUACAGCGUUAGAGGAGGAAAAUAAUUGUCUGCAUAGAAGACUUAACCGUACUAACAUUAUAGUUACUGGUUUGCCUGCCGGUAUAGAUGAUCUGAUGCCUGUUAUUAUGAAAUUAGGAACAAUAUUUGAUGUUCCAAUUUGCACAUAUGACUUACAAUAUAUUUGCUAUAUGAAUAACAGGAAGUCUAUUUUGGUGAAAUUCAAUAGUAUCUUUGUUCGGGAUAAAAUAAUGAGUCAAUAUUUUAAAACUCGGUCUUUGAAGGUUCGUGAUUUUGUGGAUGGAGAUGUUGAUUUAAGAGUCUAUUUGAAUGACCACUACUCUCCUGCUGCUAGCAGACUUAAUAUGAUUUGCAAAAAGCUGCUUCGUAAAGACCUAAUUAAAAAGUUCCGAAUAAUGAAUAGUGACAGAUUGAGAGUUAAAUUAACAUUACCGGAUGAUUCUGAGGUGGUCUAUAGUCCUUCUCAAUGUGCUGAUUUGCUGGAUGAUGGCCAUAUCUUGUUUUUUUAUAAUGAUGCCUUAUAACCUAACAGCUGGUCCUCAACUCAGUGUAAAUUCUUACUUUAAAACUGCUUUGCAACAUCAUUUAGGAAUUGGCUGCUGAGGGGACCAUUUUUUUAUCUCAAUGUUUUUAAAAUUGAUAUGGCUGGGGAGCCAAGUGAAGAAUAAAUUGAUAUGAGAAUCUGAAUAUUCUAUAGAAGGGACUUAAUAUAAGUAUUUCUAUUUUGAAUCUAAAUUUGUAUAUUUUAUUUAUAUAUUAUAGUAUUUAUAUAUAUAUAUGUAUAUAUUUUUUUUUUUUUUAUAUAUAUGAUCUCAGGCGUUAUGUGCUGUGUAAUAUUAAUAUUUUGGCCUUUGUAGGCUUUAUAUUACAAAUAAAUGAAAUAAAUAAAUAAAAUAAA
rnacentral:misc_RNA from 1 species